rnacentral:tRNA from 1 species
GCCUUCGUGGUGUAGUGGUCAGCACGCUCGUCACAUAUUCGAGAGGGCCGUGGUUCGAGUCCCAGCAAGGUCA